UAAUACGAAGGGGGCAAGCGUUGUUCGGAUUUACUGGGCGUAAAGGGCGCGUAGGCGGAUGCGUAAGUCAGAGGUGAAAGCCCUGGGCUCAACCCGGGAAUUGCCUUUGAGACUGCGUGUCUUGAGUAUGGGAGAGGGUGGCGGAAUACCCAGUGUAGAGGUGAAAUUCGUAGAUAUUGGGUAGAACACCAGUGGCGAAGGCGGCCACCUGGCCCAUAACUGACGCUGAGGCGCGAAAGCGUGGGGAGCAAACAGG
rnacentral:rRNA from 1 species